CGUCAGUACAAUUUGGUAGGUGGCCAAUUAGUAAUUGCCCAUUUGGGGUAUAUAAACCUUUCAUUCAGGCAUCUUGGUGUGCGUCAUGGUUGAAAGCCCGCCCCUUCCGUUGUAAACACCGACUGAGUGUCCUGCUGCGUUGCUGAGGGUUUGUGCGUGUGGGUUGCUGCUUACUCCCAGUAUGAUGUGCCUUCAGCGCUUCCAUCGUUGUGGCAUCGCAAUGUAAUUGAUCGGAGCACCAGCUGUUUCAGUCAACGAGCCUGUUAAAUGAUUCUCUGGUAUAUGUUGACGUGUAACUGGAUCGUACUCUCUGGUAGGUAAACUGGGUUAGUAUUUUGUGGCAUUAUCGGGUGGGUAACUGGUCGAUCACUUCAUUAGUUAUAAUCCUCCUUGUUUACUGUUUUGAAGGUUUUCGUGGACUCUAAAGUGGGCUAAUUAAGUGAGCAGUCGCAUUAAACGGUGCGCUCUCCCUCUCCGUCACGCUCUCUCUCUCUCUUUGAAGCCACGCUGCUGCUUUCUCCACAUCGAUACGUUUAAGUCAAGCGUGUAUGCGGGCCUGAGGAUUAGUUGCUUUUUUUUGCUAUUAGUUGGCAUUUUCUUUAGUAUUGUUUUCUUUUGUUGAUCAGUUUUCAAGUUAUGUAAGUUUGAGUGACUGUCUGUCUGGAAUAACUGCUGGGUGUGUUCCUGCAGCGGUCAUUUGAAAUUGUUUCAAUUGUUUUUUUUAUUUUAUUUGAAUUGUCUGUCUUUAAUUCGUUAAUAGUAUCCAUAUAUUGUUUGUCUUUUUGGGGUGUGUGUAAGUGUUUUUUUUUGUUCUUCUUUUGUUCUUGCUAUUUUAAAGUCAAUAAAUUGACUUUGAAUAUUGUUUUUUUUGUUUAUUACUUUCAGUUUCUUAUGUAUUUUCUUUUUCUCUUUUCCUUUAGGAGCUGAGGCCCUCCUGGAGCGGGCUGGUUGUCUGUUUUACAGCAGGUUUUGUUCACUGAGAAUGUUAUUGCAGUUUCAUUAUUGCCGUGUCACUAUCGUUGGCUAUUUGCAGUGAAUUGGGUGGGUGUAAGAGUGGUUGCUGUGUUUCUUAUGGUGGACCUGCUGCUGGCACACUAGCCUGCUCCUGUGCUGAAGCCUCAGUCUCCGACGUUAAGUCAAGUGUGUUAUUAAUUUUGUAAAAGUGUAUUGAGAAUUUGGUGAGCUUAUUAUAAGCCGUGUGAGGUUUAUUGUGAAUUUUGUUUUUUUUGCUUAUUAUUUUUUUGACCGUAUUUAAGCCAAUCAUGACCUGUGAACUCCUGUUUUUAAAGCACUGUUGAUCAACUUUUAACGUCAAUAAAACAAUUUUUGUACGGAA